rnacentral:rRNA from 1 species
CUACGGGACGCUGCAGGCGCGAAACCUUUACAAUGCACGCAAGUGUGAUAAGGGAACCCAAAGUGCUUUACUUUGUAAGGCUUUUGCCAAGCGUAAAUAGCUUGGAGAAUAAGUGGUGGGAAAGACUGGUGCCAGCCGCCGCGGUAACACCAGCGCCACAAGUGGCAAUCAUAUUUAUUUGGCCUAAAGCGUCCGUAGCUGGUUAAGUAAAUCUCUUGUGAAAUCGUUAAGCUUAACUUAACGGCGGGCAGGAGAGACUGUUUAACUAGGGACCGGGAGGAGUCAGAGGUAUGCUAGGGGGAGCGGUAAAAUGCAAUAAUCCCUGGUAGACCAUCUGUGGCGAAGGCGUCUGACUAGAACGGGUCCGACAGUGAGGGACGAAAGCCAGGGGAGCAAACCGGAUUAGAUACCCCAGUAGUC